rnacentral:rRNA from 1 species
UGGGAACCUGCCCAUUAGUACGGAAUAACCGCGGGAAACUGCGGCUAAUACCGUAUACGCCCUUCGGGGAAAGAUUUAUCGCUAAUGGAUGGGCCCGCGUCGGAUUAGCUAGUUGGUGGGGUAAUGGCCUACCAAGGCGACGAUCCGUAGCUGGUCUGAGAGGACGAUCAGCCACACUGGGACUGAGACACGGCCCAGACUCCUACGGGAGGCAG